rnacentral:rRNA from 1 species
AACGCUGGCGGCAUGCCUUACACAUGCAAGUCGAACGGUAACAGGUCUUCGGAUGCUGACGAGUGGCGAACGGGUGAGUAAUACAUCGGAACGUGCCCAGUAAUGGGGGAUAGCUCGGCGAAAGCCGGAUUAAUACCGCAUACGCCCUGAGGGGGAAAGUGGGGGAUCGCAAGACCUCACGUUAUUGGAGCGGCCGAUGGCUGAUUAGCUAGUUGGUAGGGUAAAGGCCUACCAAGGCGACGAUCAGUAGCUGGUCUGAGAGGACGAUCAGCCACACUGGGACUGAGACACGGCCCAGACUCCUACGGGAGGCAGCAGUGGGGAAUUUUGGACAAUGGGGGAAACCCUGAUCCAGCAAUGCCGCGUGUGCGAAGAAGGCCUUCGGGUUGUAAAGCACUUUUGUCAGGGAAGAAAUCCUUUGGGCUAAUACCCUAGGGGGAUGACGGUACCUGAAGAAUAAGCACCGGCUAACUACGUGCCAGCAGCCGCGGUAAUACGUAGGGUGCAAGCGUUAAUCGGAAUUACUGGGCGUAAAGCGUGCGCAGGCGGUUGUGUAAGACAGGUGUGAAAUCCCCGGGCUUAACCUGGGAAUUGCAUUUGUGACUGCACGACUAGAGUGUGUCAGAGGGGGGUGGAAUUCCACGUGUAGCAGUGAAAUGCGUAGAUAUGUGGAGGAACACCAAUGGCGAAGGCAGCCCCCUGGGAUAACACUGACGCUCAUGCACGAAAGCGUGGGGAGCAAACAGGAUUAGAUACCCCUGGUAGUCCACGCCCUAAACGAUGUCAACUAGUUGUU